GAAACGACUGCUAAUACCGCAUAAGCGCACAGCUUCGCAUGAAGCAGUGUGAAAAACUCCGGUGGUACAAGAUGGACCCGCGUCUGAUUAGCUGGUUGGUGAGGUAACGGCCCACCAAGGCGACGAUCAGUAGCCGGCCUGAGAGGGUGAACGGCCACAUUGGGACUGAGACACGGCCCAAACUCCUACGGGAGGCAGCAGUGGGGAAUAUUGCACAAUGGGGGAAACCCUGAUGCAGCAACGCCGCGUGAGUGAAGAAGUAUUUCGGUAUGUAAAGCUCUAUCAGCAGGAAAGAAAAUGACGGUACCUGACUAAGAAGCUCCGGCUAACUACGUGCCAGCAGCCGCGGUAAUACGUAGGGGGCAAGCGUUAUCCGGAUUUACUGGGUGUAAAGGGAGCGUAGACGGUUUUGCAAGUCUGAAGUGAAAGCCCGGGGCUUAACCCCGGGACUGCUUUGGAAACUGUAGGACUAGAGUGCAGGAGAGGUAAGUGGAAUUCCUAGUGUAGCGGUGAAAUGCGUAGAUAUUAGGAGGAACACCAGUGGCGAAGGCGGCUUACUGGACUGUAACUGACGUUGAGGCUCGAAAGCGUGGGGAGCAAACAGGAUUAGAUACCCUGGUAGUCCACGCCGUAAACGAUGAUUGCUAGGUGUUGGUGGUUAUGACCCAUCGGUGCC
rnacentral:rRNA from 1 species